AUACGGAGGAUGCAAGCGUUAUCCGGAUUCACUAGGUUUAAAGGGUGCGUAGGCGGAAUAAUAAGUCAGUGGUGAAAUCUUGCGGCUCAACCGUAAAAUUGCCAUUGAUACUGUUAUUCUUGAGUAUGGUUGAGGUAGGCGGAAUGAGUAAUGUAGCGGUGAAAUGCUUAGAUAUUACUCAGAACACCGAUUGCGUAGGCAGCUUACCAAGCCAUCACUGACGCUGAGGCACGAAAGCGUGGGUAGCAAACAGGAUUAGAUACCCUGGUAGUCCACGCCGUAAACGUUGAUUACUCGUUGUUGGCAAUACACCGUCAGCGACUGAGCAAAAGCAUUAAGUAAUCCACCUGGGGAGUACGUCAGCAAUGAUGAAACUCAAAGGAAUUGACGGGGGCCCGCACAAGCGGAGGAACAUGUGGUUUAAUUCGAUGAUACGCGAGGAACCUUACCUGGGCUUAAAUGUUUAGUGAUCGACCGGGAGACCGGUUUUUCCUUCGGGACACUUUACAAGGUGCUGCAUGGUUGUCGUCAGCUCGUGCCGUGAGGUGUCGGGUUAAGUCCCAUAACGAGCGCAACCCCUAUCGCCAGUUGCCAGCACAUAAUGGUGGGAACUCUGGUGAAACUGCCGGUGCAAACCGUGAGGAAGGUGGGGAUGACGUCAAAUCAGCACGGCCCUUAUGUCCAGGGCUACACACGUGUUACAAUGGUCGGUACAACAGGAUGCCAAUCCGCAAGGAUGAGCUAAUCCCAAAAGCCGAUCUUAGUCCGGAUCGGAGUCUGCAAUUCGACUCCGUGAAGUUGGAUUCGCUAGUAAUCGCAGAUCAGCCAUGCUGCGGUGAUACGUUCCCGGGCCUGUACACACCGCCCGUCAAGCCAUGGAAGCCGGGGGUGCCUGAAGUCCGUAACCGUAA
rnacentral:rRNA from 1 species